rnacentral:rRNA from 1 species
UACGGGGGGGGCAAGCGUUGUUCGGAAUUACUGGGCGUAAAGGGCUCGUAGGCGGCCAACUAAGUCCGACGUGAAAUCCCCAGGCUUAACCUGGGAACUGCGUCGGAUACUGGAUGGCUUGAAUUCGGGAGAGGGAUGCAGAAUUCCAGGUGUAGCGGUGAAAUGCGUAGAUAUCUGGAGGAAUACCGGUGGCGAAGGCAGCCCCCUGGGAUAACACUGACGCUCAUGCACGAAAGCGUGGGGAGCAAACAGG